rnacentral:rRNA from 1 species
UGGGGAAUUUUGGACAAUGGGCGAAAGCCUGAUCCAGCAAUGCCGCGUGUGUGAAGAAGGCCUUCGGGUUGUAAAGCACUUUUGCCCGGAAAGAAAUCCUUGGCUCUAAUACAGUCGGGGGAUGACGGUACCGGAAGAAUAAGCACCGGCUAACUACGUGCCAGCAGCCGCGGUAAUACGUAGAGUGCAAGCGUUAAUCGGAAUUACUGGGCGUAAAGCGUGCGCAGGCGGUUUGCUAAGACCGAUGUGAAAUCCCCGGGCUCAACCUGGGGAACUGCAUUGGUGACUGGCAGGCUAGAGUAUGGCAGAGGGGGGUAGAAUUCCACGUGUAGCAGUGAAAUGCGUAGAGAUGUGGAGGAAUACCGAUGGCGAAGGCAGCCCCCUGGGCCAAUACUGACGCUCAUGCACGAAAGCGUGGGGGAGCAAAACAGGAUUAGAUACCCCUGGUAGUCCACGCCCUAAACGAUGUCAACUAGUUGUUGGGGGACUUCAUUUUCCUUAGUAACGUAGCAACGCGUGAAGUUGACCGCCUGGGGAGUACGGUCGCAAGAUUAAAACUUAAAUGAAUUGACGGGGUCAUAGCUGUUU